rnacentral:rRNA from 1 species
UACGAGGGGGGCUAGCGUUGCUCGGAAUGACUGGGCGUAAAGGGCGCGUAGGCGGAUUGUACAGUCAGGCGUGAAAUUCCCGGGCUCAACCUGGGGGCUGCGCUUGAGACGUGCGAUCUUGAGUGGGGAAGAGGGUCGUGGAAUUCCCAGUGUAGAGGUGAAAUUCGUAGAUAUUGGGGAGAACACCGGUGGCGAAGGCGGCGACCUGGUCCUUGACUGACGCUGAGGCGCGAAAGCGUGGGGAGCAAACAGG